UACAGAGGGGGCGAGCGUUGUUCGGAAUUACUGGGCGUAAAGGGCGCGUAGGCGGCCUGCUAAGUCAUACGUGAAAUCCCUCGGCUCAACCGGGGAACUGCGUGUGAUACUGGCGGGCUUGAAUCCGGGAGAGGAAUGCGGAAUUCCAGGUGUAGCGGUGAAAUGCGUAGAUAUCUGGAGGAACACCGGUGGCGAAGGCGGCAUUCUGGACCGGCAUUGA
rnacentral:rRNA from 1 species